AUGGCGAGAAAGUCGUUCAAGUUAAGCCACUACUCAAAUAUCUUACUAAUUUUGAUUUUAAAUAGUAUUUUUUAUGAGUUCGCCUUCGCCUUUCCGUCAUAUCGCGAAUCCAGACAGUCAGAAAGUUUGGACAGAUCCACCUCAACAACAAACAAUCAACAGGUUCGAAGACUCCAUUUAGGAGUUAUCGCGUCUGUUGUGAUCGUUAUUGUGGCUGCAAUAGCAGCUGCUGUCUUCAUCAUACGGAAAUACUGCUGUCUGCAGAGUAAUGUAACAUAUAGAUACUCAGAGCUGCGACAAAUGGAAGAGCAAAAUGCAGCCGGUUCAGAUGAGGUUAGUAUGUGUGGCAUUUUAAAAAUUAGUAGGCUAAUAAUAGCCUUCAAAACUAAAUGUUUAAUUACUUUUUAUUCUUACUCUGGGUUUUCUUUCCACAGGACCUUUUGGAGUGAAUCGUGUAGCACAAUUUAUCCUUGACGUUUCUCUUCUUCUUUUUUUAAUACUGUGACAUUAUAUGGCCAAAAGCAUCACAUGGGUCAUUUAAAAACCACCAGGAGUUCCUGAAAUAUUUAUCUCUGUUCCACCAUUUUUCAGCACAGAUAUGUCCACCAACCAGUUAAAAUUAGCUGGUUAAAUUUGGCAGGAUUCAAAGGCUAAAAUCUCCUUCAUGAAAGCUGUGGGGAAGCGGUUCAGAAAUAUUAAGAUGCCCAUUAGAGAUAAUAGUUAUUAUGAUUUAUUUUCAGGCAAAUAACUUAUGAAACGAGCUGUUAUGGUUGUCGGUUGUGGUGCCCAUUGCUUAAAACUUGGUCAAUACUUGGAACUACUUUUUAAAGAAGAACUUAUUUAGUAUUUUCUUGAAUUUCUCAAUGCAAGGUACGUUGUACCAAAGUCUGUUGAAAUGAUUGUUCCUCUAUUUAUUGUACCUGACUUUUUCUUUAAAAAAAAAACAGCUUUAUGAUCUCAGGGUUGUUCCCACUGGAUACUGUGAACAGUGCCACCAAUACCAGAAGCACAUCUGAAAUAGAAUUUGACUGUAAACAAGUCUUAUCCACUGUAAUGAUGCUGCUGCAGACUUUGCAUUUCAGUGCCUUACUGAAAUCUGUUACUGUAUAAUUUAACUCUUGUGGUAUUUUGAACAAUAAUCUGCACUCGUAUGCCGGUAUUGGUAUUUAUAGUGGCAGUGUUAGGCUUCACUUCUAUUUUAAGAUGACAAUGUUGAUACAGAAUUAUCAUGUGCAGUCCAGAGCUCCACAACAGUGUUUUAUGAGCUCAGUCCAUGAUGGGAAGUAUUUUUGAUAGAUGAUUAUUGAAUUCUGUAUCUUUAGAUUUUCAUAUGUUUGCACCUUCUUUUCUGAGUCUGAACUACUGACUACUUAAAAAAAAAAAAAAAAAAAAAAAAAAAAAAAAAAAAGUUAAUUUAACUGAGAAGGAAUAAAAUUAUAUACAUGAAUAUUCCUUGUAUGUUUGAUGAAUAUGCUUAAAUUUUUCUCACAGAUAGCCACAAGAGGGCAGCACACAACUGUAAAAUCAUUUUGCAUGGAAUAAGAAUAACAAUAUCUGUCUAGGUGACAAGUUGGGUUAGAUGAGGUUAGACUUGUUUGAAUGUAAUGGUGCAAAUUUACCACACCUUAAGGUAAAGCCUGCCAGAUCAGGUUUCAGGCAGCACCAUAGUCCAGAGAACUUUCAAACAGGUAAAAACUCAAAAGUAACAAGGGAA
ensembl:lncRNA